GACGAACGCUGGCGGCGUGCUUAACACAUGCAAGUCGAACGGUGAAGCGCCUUCCUUUUUGGUGGGUGUGGAUGAGGGGCGAACGGGUGAGUAACACGUGAGUAACCUGCCCCCUUCUUCGGGAUAACCGCAUGAAAGUGUGGCUAAUACGGGAUAUUCUGGGUCUGUCGCAUGAUGGGUCUGGGAAAGAUAUUGUUUCGGUGGGGGAUGGGCGCGCGUCCUAUCAGCAUUUUGGUGGGGUGAUGGCCUACCAAGGCGGUGACGGGUAGCCGGCCUGAGAGGGUGGACGGUCACACUGGGACAGAGACACGGCCCAGACUCGUACGGGCGGCAGCAGUGGGGAAUAGUGGACAAUGGGAGCAAGCCUGAUGCAGCGACACCGCGUGAGGGAUGGAGGCCUUCGGGUUGUGAACCUCUUUCGCCAGUAAAGCAGGCCUGCCUCGUUUGUGGGUGGGUUGACGGUAGCUGGAUAAGAAGCGCCGGCUAACUACGUG
rnacentral:rRNA from 1 species